rnacentral:rRNA from 1 species
UUCAGGAUGAACGCUGGCGGCGUGCCUAACACAUGCAAGUCGAACGGAGAGUUUUCUCGGAGGAACUCUUAGUGGCGGACGGGUGAGUAACGCGUGGGUAACCUGCCUUACACAGGGGGACAACAGUUGGAAACGACUGCUAAUACCGCAUAAGCCCACGGUACCGCAUGGUACUGUGAGAAAAGGAUUCCGGUGUAAGAUGGGCCCGCGUCUGAUUAGUUAGUUGGCGGGGUAACGGCCCACCAAGACGACGAUCAGUAGCCGACCUGAGAGGGUGAUCGGCCACAUUGGGACUGAGACACGGCCCAAACUCCUACGGGAGGCAGCAGUGGGGAAUAUUGCGCAAUGGGGGGAACCCUGACGCAGCCAACGCCGCGUGAGUGAAGAAGUAUUUCGGUAUGUAAAGCUCUAUCAGCAGGGAAGAAGAUGACGGUACCUGCAGAAGAAGUCCCGGCUAACUACGUGCCAGCCGCAGC